rnacentral:rRNA from 1 species
AUGCAAGUAGAACUUACAGUCCUUUUAGAAAUUAGAAUCACUAGGAAUUUCCAACUGCAACGCUUUGCAAAAACCUCUUUUUAAAUGAACAACAUUUGAAAAAGAGUAGUUUGAACACUUGUAGAGAGAAAUCAGUUUGUAUGCGUGCUGCUUGAUUUGUUUCAAAAUAACGUUGCUGCCUCUUAUGUAGAAAAAAUAUAUAGUCAUUGAAGGAAAUCUUCUAAGCUAAAAUCAUGCAAAGAGUAUUUCAAUCAAAUACCAUGAAUCAAGAAAGUUAAAAUUAAAUUCAAAUCCUGUCAAGGCUAUUUUUAUGAGAAAUAAUUUUUCCCUAAAUACUUGCCAAAUUUGUUUUUCAAGAAUAAUCACUUAAAUAAAGUUUUUAAACAUGAAAAAAAAAUUUGGGGGCUCGAAGAUGAUCAGAUACCGUCCUAGUCUCAACCAUAAACGAUGAUGACCAGGGAUUAGUGGACGUUACUUAUAGGACUCCGCUGGCACCUUAUGAGAAAUUAACAUUUUUGGGUUCCGGGGGGAGUAUUGUUGCAAGGCUGAAACUUAAAGGAAUUGACAGAAAGGCACCACUAGGAGUGGAGCUUGUGGCUUAAUUUGACUCAACAAAGGGAAACUUACUAGGUUUAGACAUGGUAAGGAUUGAUAGAUUGAGAGCUCUUUCUUGAUUCUAUGGGUGGUGGUGCAUGGCCGUUCUUAGUUGGUAGAGUGAUUUGUCUAGUUAAUUCCAUUAAUAAACGAUACCUCAGCCUAUUAACUGGCUACAUAGAGGUACCCCUCCAUGGAUAACUUCUUAGAGGGACUAAGGCCAAUUAGGCCACGGAAGUUCGUGGGAAUAAUAGGUCUAUGAUGCCUUUAAAUGUUUUGGGCCGCACGCGUGCUACCCUGAUGUAUUCAACGAGUUUAUAGCCUUGGCCAUCAAGUCCGGGUAAUCUUUGAAAUUUCAUCGUGAUGGGGAUAGAUCAUUGCAAUUGUUGGUCUUCAACGAGGUAUUCCUAGUAAGCGCGACUCAUUAUCUCGCGUUGACUACGUCCCUGCCUUUUGUACACAUGGCCCGUUGCUCCUACCGAUUGAAUGGUCCGGUGAAGUGUUCGGAUCAAGGCGACGUAGGCGGUUCAUUGCCGACAACGUUGUGAGAAGUCCACUGAACCUUAUCAUUUAAAGGAAAGAGAAGACGUAACAAGAUUUCUGUAGGUGAACCUAUGGGCA